AGCCUUUUAUUGACCUAAAAAGUGUGUCUGUGUGUGUGUGUGUGUGUGUGUGUGUGUGUGUGUGUGUGUGUCAGAGAGAGAGAGAGAGAGAGAGAAUGGGGGGGAGAGAGGUGUUUCAUUUCCUACUAUUGCACUGAGGAAAUGUGAAUACCUAUGGGGUUGACUCUAAUAACUGUAGUUUAGCUUAAAUGUCCCCAUCACUUGACAGUCUUCCUGAUCUAAAUCCAGAGUUUGCUCCAGCACAGAGCCAUCACUGUGUGCUUAGUCCCUGCCCAGGCCUCUGGUGAUGGAGAAGUUAAUUAGUUAACACCUGAGGUGACUCCCCAGAGUGUGCCUUCCCUUCCUGAACCCAGCUCACAGAAUCUUAGUCCCUGGCUUCUGCCUUCCAUCUUCCUGCUUCUUUCCCUCUGUAGGCCUGAGACCUUCUGGAACUGCUCUAUAAACAAGUUACAAAGUGAGCUGGGUACAGCCACUGGGCCAGUGAGCUGGGCACAGCCACUGUGCCAACCCUUAGGAGGUGGCUGUGAGUUUCCAGGGGACCCACUUUGGCAGCUUUGAGUACUGAUAUGAGAGACCCAUCGCAGGAAGGUAACUGUGUGUGUAAAAUUGGCAGUGUUGUAAGCAAACCCUGUUCUUCUCUGUACAGGUUGUGGUUGGGAUGAACUAUUUCCUGGAAGUGGAGAUGGGCCGAACCAGAUGCACCAAGUCCAAGCCCAACUUGGAGAGCUGUCCCUUUCAUGUGCACCUAGACCUGCUGAAGAAAAAGCUCUGCUCUUUCCAGAUACACAUUGUGCCCUGGAUGGGCACGACCUCCUUGGUGAAGUCCAGCUGCCAGGAUACAUAGAAGACUCUGACAAGCCCCUUCUCAUUAUCAUCCCCCCUCCUUAUAAAGCUGCUACACUUUAUAAUGGUGACCCUGCCCAGGGGUCCCCAUCGGUGUGCUAGUCCCAGGCAACAAAGAAAGGUUCUGGGGCUUUUCUGAACAGCUUAGUGGCUCUACGCACUUUCUUUUCAUUACUCUCCAAAUCACCAGAAGCAGUGUACAUGUCCUGCUCUAUGUUAAUCAAUAAAUACUAACAUCAGGCACCUUUUGAGUUGUUCACUGUCUUGGGAAUAUGCACAGAAGAACGGUUUGGGCAAUGCUUUUAAGAGUCCCUAGUCCCAAGGCUCUAGAGAGCAGAGGAGGAACUGAGAGCUGAAAGAACCCUGAUGAGGUCGUGAGGGGAGUGUGCUGCCACUUUUUGGAAUGAUUGAGUAAAGAGAACGCUAGGAACCCAGAUCUUCAGUUGUGGUGCUCCUGAUGAUCACAUAGGAGAGAAAGAGACCUAGGCUGCCCCUCCUGGAGAUUUGUGCUAUAAAAGGAAGUCAGAUGGUGAGCAGACUGCACAGGAGGGAGGGAUGGAUGGAGCCCAUAGACCAGAGCCACCCUGGCAGGGCUAUGCCAGGCACAGAUUUUAGCCAUGUGUGCUUAGCUCAUCACACUCCUGAGGCUGAUUUUCACUGGUAAAAUAUGCAAAAUAAACGGAUUUAGGUCUACCUCUUUCCACAAAAGACGUCAGGCACCUACAGUAGACAAAAACUAAAAGUAUAUGUCUGUUUAUGUAACUAUUAGGGAAAUACCAAUCAGAAUUAAGGUCAGUCAAGGCCACAGUCAGGAGUUACAUUAGAAAGAGUAGAAGCACUCCACGUCACUUUCUCAAGAGUAUGUCCUUGGAGCUGCCUCCAGGAAAUACAAGGGGACCACAUAUCCACAAACAGGGAUAGGGAUAUGGAGCCUUUUGAGUACUCAGGUUCUGGUCACUGGUUAAUCCAUGGUCUUUCCUUUUUUGAUGACAUGUCCCAACACUCCACCCUCAUGGACCACUCUUAAAAUCUCACAGCCCCUUCUUCAGCAGCAGGCACUGAGCUGUUAACAAGAGGUUUUACUAGCCUGCAUGUGACUCUUUUGGUGGCUCUCUGGCUGCACUGGAGGCAGAUGCCAUAGCAAAAAUAAAGGCACAUGCAAGACAAAACACAUUUAAG
rnacentral:lncRNA from 1 species